rnacentral:ncRNA from 2 species
CGUAACCACAAGGGGAGCGAUUUGCUGAGAGUGAACGGCACUGCCUGUUCUGACCCUUUGAACCUGUUAGUUAGUACUAGCGUAGGAAUGUGGAUGAUAUAGGAU